GACGAACGCUGGCGGCGUGCCUAACACAUGCAAGUCGAACGGAAAGGCCCUGCUUUUGUGGGGUGCUCGAGUGGCGAACGGGUGAGUAACACGUGAGUAACCUGCCCUUGACUUUGGGAUAACUUCAGGAAACUGGGGCUAAUACCGGAUAGGAGCUCCUGCUGCAUGGUGGGGGUUGGAAAGUUUCGGCGGUUGGGGAUGGACUCGCGGCUUAUCAGCUUGUUGGUGGGGUAGUGGCUUACCAAGGCUUUGACGGGUAGCCGGCCUGAGAGGGUGACCGGCCACAUUGGGACUGAGAUACAGCCCAGACUCCUACGGGAGGCAGCAGUGGGGAAUAUUGCACAAUGGGCGGAAGCCUGAUGCAGCAACGCCGCGUGCGGGAUGACGGCCUUCGGGUUGUAAACCGCUUUCGCCUGUGACGAAGCGUGAGUGACGGUAAUGGGUAAAGAAGCACCGGCUAACUACGUG
rnacentral:rRNA from 1 species